rnacentral:lncRNA from 11 species
UGGAACUCUUUCAUUUGCUCAUUAAAGAACUCAAUUCAAAACAGAGCUAAAGUUACUAAUAGGAAUAAAAAGAUGGAAUUUUUAAUAUACAAUGUUAUCCUUGACAUAAGUUCAAAUCAUUGUUGGACCACAUGAAGUGUAAGUAUCUAGCUCUUAAAAUAACCUACUAGAUGAUUAUGAGUGUAAUACUGGUUGACACUG